UACGAAGGGGGCUAGCGUUGCUCGGAAUCACUGGGCGUAAAGGGUGCGUAGGCGGGUCUUUAAGUCAGACGUGAAAUCCCUCGGCUCAACCGAGGAACUGCGUCUGAGACUGCGGGACUUGAAGUCCGGGAGAGGAUGCGGAAUUCCAGGUGUAGCGGUGAAAUGCGUAGAUAUCAGGAGGAACACCGAUGGCGAAGGCAGGUCUCUGGGCCGACUACGAUGCGCUGGAGGAGCGAAAGCGUGGGGAGCAACAGG
rnacentral:rRNA from 1 species